UUCUCUCACCAGUGUGAAAAACUAUAUCCUGCAUUGGUGAUCUACUGGAAAAAAAUACCAAGACAGUUUAAUAGAGAAAGUGAUGGCAUGUAAACAGCCUAUUGCAAUUCCUGGGGAUGGAAGACACGAUUCCAUGGGACAUAGUGCUAAAUAUUGUGCAUAUACAACAUUUUGUUGCACAGUACCUCAAAUCAUUAGUUUUUCACUUGUGCAGGUACAUUUCUUAAGUCACAUCUAAAUUUGCAUUCUCGAGUACACUUGGAUCAAUCGGAUGUGCAAGUCUAAGUGUCUGUUAAGGUGUCUCGUACAGUUCAAUAAUAUAUUAUACAAAAUGAAACACUCCCUAACAAUCGAGUCAGUUGAACAUUGGACAAGAUUGCGGAAAGAGCUUGAUCUAAGCUUGCGGACACUUUGCAUACUGCUUAAAAAGUAAAGAUUACACAGGCAGAACAAAAAGACUUUAUCGUCCUUUUUAUAAAUGAUGAAGUCUAUACCGAUAGCAUUAUGUUGUGUUUUUGCUUUGAGUAUGCAGCUGGUUGAAUCUGACGACAAAGUUGAUGAUAUCAUGAAAACACGACUACCUAGAGGUCUUCCCAAGAAAUCAAAUGUUUG